GAAUAUUUAUAGCAGUUUUAUUUGUAAUAGCCAAAAGCUGGAAACAACCCAAUUGUCUAUCAACAGUGACUGGAAGGACAAAUUGUGCUAUGUCCACACAUUAGAAUACCAGUUGGCAGUCAAAAAGGAAGAGCUGAUCUGUGCAGCAAUUUGAGUCUCAGUAAUUUCAUGGUGAGUAAAAUAAGCUAGACAGAAAAGAACACACACUGAUGACUAUAUGAAGUUCUGGCACAGACAAAAUUCAUACUUAAUGACAGAAAUCAGAUUGGCACUAACCUGAGGCAGGGGCUGGGUAUAGGAGUGACCACUACAGAGGGCACGGAUGCUGUGAUCAGGAGUGGUCUCUACCUCUGUCCAUGCACACUGAGCUAUACCUGUAACAGGUAGAUUUCAUUUUGUAAAUUGUAUCUCAUGAAGUUGAUUUGAAAAGCCUACACUGAGAGGCAGUAUUUUAACUAUUCUGAGAUAACAUUGAUUAAAAAAUGCAACAUGCCAAAAUACA
rnacentral:lncRNA from 10 species